UGAUGAUACAGGUGGAGGUAG
rnacentral:miRNA from 1 species